rnacentral:rRNA from 1 species
CUACGGGCGGCUCCAGUAGGGAAUAUUGGGCAAUGGUCGCAAGACUGACCCAGCCAUGCCGCGUGCAGGAAGACGGCCCUCUGGGUUGUAAACUGCUUUUAUCUGGGAAGAAAAAGUCCAUGCGUGGAAAAUUGCCGGUACCAGAUGAAUAAGCACCGGCUAACUCCGUGCCAGCAGCCGCGGUAAUACGGAGGGUGCAAGCGUUGUCCGGAUUUAUUGGGUUUAAAGGGUGCGUAGGCGGCUGAAUAAGUCAGCGGUGAAAGACUUCGGCUUAACCGGAGCAGUGCCGUUGAUACUGUUUGGCUUGAGUAUUGGAGGGGUACAUGGAAUUGAUGGUGUAGCGGUGAAAUGCAUAGAUACCAUCAGGAACACCGAUAGCGAAGGCAUUGUACUGGCCAACAACUGACGCUGAGGCACGAAAGUGUGGGGAUCGAACAGGAUUAGAUACCCGAGUAGUC